UCUAUUUGUCAUCACUAACCCAUCAUCACUAUUGAAUAAAUUCAUAAAUUAUGAAAAUUACCAUGCUAGAACUAGUAACAAGAAAAUGAAUUUCUCCAAAGCGUAAGCAUAAGCCAAGACGGACAACCCUUUGGUAAUUAACGGCCUUGAACCCAUUAUAGUAAAGUAUCUAGAAAACCCUAUAUCUUACACCGUUAACCUUACACAAGAACUCUCCUGGAAAGAUUAAAAGGAAGAGAAGGAACUCGGCAAAGCAUAACCCCGCCUGUUUACCAAAAACAUCGCCUCUUGCUGGAUAUAAGAGGUCUAGCCUGCCCAGUGUUUUAAUCAACGGCCGCGUGAUUUAAGCGCGCGAAGGUAGCGUAAUAAUUUGUUCUUUAAAUGAGGACUUGUAUCAAUGGCAUCACGAGGGUUAUACUGUCUCCUCUCCCCAAUCAGUGAAACUAAUCUCCCUGUGAAAAAGCAGGAAUAAACCAAUAAGACGAGAAGACCCCAUGGAGCUUAAAACACAGCAACAACCCUAAUUAGUUAAUCUAUAUAAUUUUAAGCCCUGUAUGCUAGUUUUAGGUUGGGGUGACCGCGGAACAAAACAAAGCCUCCACAACGAAAAGGGCUUACACCCUUAUCCAAGAGACACACCUCUAAGAAUUAUAACAAUAACGUAUAAUGAUCCGACCAUCGACCAACGGACGAAGUUACCCUGGGGAUAACAGCGCAAUCCACUU
rnacentral:rRNA from 1 species